AUACGUAGGUGGCAAGCGUUAUCCGGAAUUAUUGGGCGUAAAGAGGGAGCAGGCGGCAGCAAGGGUCUGUGGUGAAAGCCUGAAGCUUAACUUCAGUAAGCCAUAGCAACCAGGCAGCUAGAGUGCAGGAGAGGAUCGUGGAAUUCCAUGUGUAGCGGUGAAAUGCGUAGAUAUAUGGAGGAACACCAGUGGCGAAGGCGACGAUCUGGCCUGCAACUGACGCUCAGUCCCGAAAGCGUGGGGAGCAAAUAGGAUUAGAUACCCUAGUAGUCCACGCCGUAAACGAUGAGUACUAAGUGUUGGAUGUCAAAGUUCAGUGCUGCAGUUAACGCAAUAAGUACUCCGCCUGAGUAGUACGUUCGCAAGAAUGAAACUCAAAUGAAUUGACGGGG
rnacentral:rRNA from 1 species